rnacentral:sRNA from 1 species
AUUCAGUGAAUCAUCGAAUCUUUGAACGCACAUUGCACUCUCUGGUAUUCCGGAGAGUAUGCUUGUUUGAGUAUCAGUAAACACCCCAAGUCUCUUCUCUAGAGAAGAGAAUUGGACUUGAGCAAUCCCAACUCUUUGCAAAAAGAGGCGGGUUGCUUGAAAUGCAGGUGCAGCUGGACAUUCUUCUGAGCUAAAAGCAUAUUUAUUUAGUCCCGUCAAACGGAUUAUUACUUUUGCUCUAGCUAAUAUAAAGGUUGAAUGCGCUAUAUGCUGACUGAUGCAGGAUUACCAAGUUUUACUAGCUAAAACUUGUAAACUCGAUCUCAAAUCAAGUAAGACUACCCGCUAAACUUAA